UCUCUGAGAGUCACGGACCUCCUGUGCAAGAACAUGAAGCACCUGUGGUUCUUCCUCCUCCUGGUGGCAGCUCCCAGAUGGGUCCUGUCCCAGGUGCAGCUGCAGGAGUCGGGCCCAGGACUGGUGAAGCCUUCGGAGACCCUGUCCCUCACCUGCGCUGUCUCUGGUGGCUCCAUCAGCAGUAACUACUGGAGCUGGAUCCGCCAGCCCCCAGGGAAGGGACUGGAGUGGAUUGGACGUAUCUAUGGUAGUAGUGGGAGCACCAGCUACAACCCCUCCCUCACGAGUCGAGUCACCAUUUCAACAGACACGUCCAAGAACCAGUUCUCCCUGAAGCUGAGCUCUGUGACCGCCGCGGACACGGCCGUGUAUUACUGUGCGAGAGACACAGUGAGGGGAGGAGGGUGUGAGCCCAGACACAAACCUCCCUGCAGGGAGGCGGAGGGGGCGGGCGCAGGGGUUCAGUGUGAGGUGCAGCUGAUUGAGUCCAUAGAGGACCUGAGACAACCUGGGAAGUUCCUGAGACUCUCCUGUGUAGCCUCCGGAUUCGCCUGCAGUAGCUACUGA